UCAUGCUGACUGGAGUUGAGCACAGGGCAGUGACAAAGUGAAAGGUAAGUACUUUUGACUGAAUGUUUGUUCUAUGCAUGUUUUGUUUUAAUUCAUUUCAGGAGUGCUUAUCCAGUGAUGAUAUGACAGUUGGAGUGAACAGUGGAGCCAAGCAGUCUUGUUUUUGGAGCUACUCAACAAGCCUUGAAGGUAAGUUUAGAAUUUCUCAAUGUUAGUGAAUUGAAGUACUGUCACUUGCUUUUGGACAGUCGAACAGAACAGACGUGGUUGCGAGAGCUCUCAUAUCUGUUGUGUUAAACUGUUUUUAUGAUAUGUUAUGUUUGUUUGUUUGUUUGUGAUGUACUAUUUUUCAGAUGCUGAUGGCAGUGAUGGGUUUUCAAGCUGACCUGAACAGAAAAGCACUCAUAUGGUAAGUACAAAAUAGUUGUUAUAUGGGAUGUUUUGUGCAUGCUUUUAUGUUUCAGGUGUACUUGCAGUUAGAGACGAAGACGAUUCAAGAAGAGGACCAUAGGUCAGAAAGUGGAUGGAACAUACAAAGGGUAAGUUGAACCUGUGUUUUUGUUUGAUUUUUACCAUGCAUACUUUGCUUUGCUCUGUUUCAGAUUUCACAUGCAGAAAUUAAACAGGAUUUCAACUGCUGAGACACAAUUCAUCAAAAGUAAGGUAAGUUUUAAUUCAUUGAUUUGAGUUGUACAAUGUGUUCUUUACUUUAUUUCAGAUUCGAGUCACUGGUUUACACAUGGAAGAAGAUUUCCACGUCUGUUACUCAACUCUACAGAAGCAAGAUGUUUUGUUUCAGUUGAUGUCCAGAUGGCAAGCAGUACAGACGUGUUGCUUGGAGCUGCCAAACAGGAGCUGUGGUAAGUAUUGUAGUAUUAAUUUGUCUCAAUAAACGAUGAUGAAUGAAAACUGAUGUCGAUUCUUUUUGUACAGUUUUAGGUAUUAGCACUCUAUACAAAACUCUGUCGGUCGGUGUUUGUGAAUGUGAGCUUAAUGUUUGAGUAGAACAAAAAUGUCUUUACUUUUGUGAUCGCCAGUUGUCUGUGAUGUAAAGUGGAAAAAACACAGCUAUGAAGCAUACAAUUGUUUCGAAAUUUUAUCAAUGAUUGUAUACUAUGCAUGUUUUGAUUUAGUUCGUUUCAGAUAUGACAUGACAUGAAGAGUUGACAGUCGAACAGAGCUGAGCAAUGCAGAAAGGUAAGUGUGUUUCAUUUUAGUAUGAACACUUGUAUUUUGUUUUUAUAUGGUAUGUUUUGUGCAUGCUAUGUUUCAGGUGUACUUGUAGUCAGCGACGAAGACGAUUCAAGAAGAGGAACAUUGCUGAGAAAGUGAAUGGGACUUGCAAACAGGGUAAGUGUUACAAUUGUUCUUUUGAUUUUUGCCAUGCAUACUUUGCUUUGCUCUGUUUCAGAUUUCACAUGCAGAAAUGGUCUCAUAGCAGUGCCAACAGUGAAUAAGGAUUUCAGCUGCUGUGAAACAACUCAACAGAAAGUAGGUAAGCAUUGAAUGAAUGCACUUGAGUUGUACAAUUUGAUGUGAUGCUUUUCUCUGUUUCAGAUUCAAGUUCCUGGUGUAGACAGAGAAAUGUGUUUGAAGAAGGAAUUCUACUACUGUGAUUCAACUCUACAGAAGCAAGGUAAGUAGAAACACAAUUUUGGUUUAAUUUAACUCAUGUGUUUUGCACUGCAUGCUAUUUUUCAGGUCUCUCAUGCAGUAAUGCAAAAGAAGAAGAUUUCAAGAAAGAAUCACUGCUGCAACUCAGGCCUAUAACAAGGUAAGUGUUUACUAUAUUGUAUACAAAAUGUUUCUCUGUUUUACUCUGUUUGAAGGUUUCAAUUGCAGAGAUGUUGCAGAGAUGUUUUGACAGCUUGUGACAGAAAAGAAAUUCAGCAGCUGUGUAUCGACUGUAGCCACGAGGUAAGUCGAAACAAAUAUACUGGUUUGUAUGUUAUGUUGUUAUGCCCUUCUAUGUUUCAGACUUACAUUGCUGUGACUGUUCCACAGUGGGUCAAAAAAGAGACGAAUACAGGUUUCAAGAAGAAAAUUGGCUGUUGAAAACCUGCACAAAAUAUGAGGUAAGUAAACUAUUCUUUUGUUUUGUUUUGUGCUUUGUUAUGCUUAACUAUUUUUCAGAUUGGAGUGGUGGGUCGUUACAGAGCAGACUUUUGGACAACUGAGAAGUUAAACAACAGAAAAUGAUUCAAGAUCAGCUAGGUAAGUCUGGAUUAUUAUGCAUUGCUAAAUGUUUUUUUUAUUCCAGUAUGGUUGUGGUAAGUACACUAACUUUCUAUAAUUUCAUAUUGAACUGUUUUGAUGACUUGUAUUCUGCAUUGUAAAAUGUCUGUUUUUCAUUUCAGUAUCCUGUGGUAAGUACACUAACUUUCUAUAAUUUCAUAUUGAAAUGUUUUGAUGACUUGUAUACUACUAUGCAAUGCUUAAUGUUUUUUUUCAUUUCAGUAGCCUGUUGGUAAGUACACUAACUUUCUAUAAUUUCAUAGUGAACUGUUUUGAUGACUUGUAUUCUACUAUGCAAUGCUUAAUGUAUUUUUUCAGUAGCCUGUUGGUAAGUACAAUUGCCUUCUUUAAUUUUCAUAUUGAACUGUUUUGAUGAUGUGUAUACUGCUAUGCAAUGCUUAAUGUUUUUUUCAUUUCAGUAUAGCUGUGGUAAGUACACAUACUUUCUAUAAUUUCAUAUUGAACUGUUUUGAUGACUUGUAUACUGCUAUGCAAAAUGUCUGUUUUUCAUUUCAGUAGCCUGUGGUAAGUAUACUAACUUUCUAUAAUUUCAUAUUGAACUGUUUCGAUGAUUUGUAUACUGCUAUGCAUUGCUAAAUGUUUUUUUCAUUUCAGUAUAGCUGUGGUAAGUACACUAACUUUCUUUAAUUUUCAUAUUGAACUGUUUUGAUGACUUGUAUUCUGCUAUACAAAAUGUGCUUUUUUCAAUUUCAGGUCAGCAAUGGUAAGUAGAUUGUGUUUCUUUAUGUAAAAUUUUGUAUACAUAUUGUUUUUUUCAUCAUAGCAUGUCUUUUAUAUUUAUGCUUUGUGUAAGUAAAAUGUUCAUAAAUCAUUCUUAUCUUCAAACUAAAAAUGUAUUGUGCUAUGCAAAAUGUCUGUAUGUUUUCAGUUGCCAGAGGUGAGUACCAUUACAGUUGAAAAGUUAGUUUUGUUUAGUUAAAGUUUUGGUUCACAGUUUUGUUUGUUAUUUGGCAAAAUUUACAUGUAUGCAUUGAGUCUUGAUUUCAGCUCGAUUGUGGACUGAAGAAGAUUGCCAGCAGAGGGAUUGGAUACAAAAUACAAAGUAAGUACUGAGUUUCUUACUAAAAGUUUUGAGUUGUAUUCAUUGUGUGUUAAUAUGCUAUGAUUGCUAUGAACAUGACUUUUGUAUUUCAGCGAAGACAACAUAGGUAAGUAAAAUUGUUAUCUGUUUCAUGUUUACUGUUACAGUUCAAUAUUGUGUUUAUAAAUUUUAAGUUGUACAAACACAUUCAAAAGUUUCUAAUCAUGCUUUCGAUUUCAUUUCAGCUUUACUGCUGGACGAGUGUUCUCUACUACUAGACGUGUCAGGUUUACUACCAGGCGAGCAGUGACAACGAGGCGCCUUUGUGGAAACAACACAACAAAAAACUGUACUGCUAGACGAGCAGUGACAGAAAGGCGCCUGAACAUGCAACACAAAACAAAAAAUGCCAAUUUGCAAACCUUGAUGUGGACACCGAGUAGUCAAUACAUACGUGUGGCGUAUAGCUACGACAAAACCGUGGGUCCAUCGCACCGAUAACUUGAACAUUGGCCCGUGUAUGGACAUCAGUGCAACUUUGUGAAUCCAUGUAACUUUGUGAAUCCAUGUAACAUUGCGAAUGUGUGUCGAUCGAAAAAUGUGUACAUUCUGCACUGAAACGAACUCGGUGUUGCAAGUGGCAAGUGUUGACAGUGUGUAUGUUUAUGUUUAUGUUUUUACAUGAAAAAUAAAGGAGAUUGUUCUCCUACCUUUUUUUUCCUUGUUUUAUUGUGCUGGCCAGCAAUAUUGAUGUAUUGAUGUAUGUGUUUGUGUUUAAACUAUGCAAUACCAAAAUCAAACAAAAAAUAAACAUUAACAGUCAUUAACUGUGUUUGGGCGGCCGAGGGGUUUAAGACUCCACAAGUGUGAAGCGCACUGAUAGCACUUGGGGGUAAACACCUCGGUAUUUCGGUGCUAAAAUGUUUUCACGGUGCUUAUUUUGACGCACUGUUAGAACUACCAACCAGUAAAUGAUUGCUUGAUUUAUAAAACAAAUAUUCAGUCUCUACUUUGGCACAAGAGACUCUAAGUAUCAAAUACCAACAAUUUAAGCGCAGACAAUCACAUGGUGGUACACCAGUCCGAAUAUACUCAUUGCUCUAGCCAGGAUUGCAAAUUACUUGUGUUGACUAGCAAGGCUCCCUAGUAACGGAGCAGUGUUACUGGCGUUUUUUGGGUCGAUAGUGCUUAGGUGAGGUUUUGCUCGAAUCGGGAGCGGGUCACUCGCUUGGGCGAGUUAGUUUUCGCUCGUAGUUUCCAAUCUGGCUAGAUCACUGUAAGGUUGUUUUGACUGCUAUUUGGCAAGCAGAAAGACAACAGCGGUUAAUUGACUGAGUAUGGGCGACCGAGGUAUGUAGGUGUCAAUAGACCGACUCCACAAGUUGCGAAGCGAACCGAUAGCACUUGAGGGGAAACGCCUCGGUUUUCGGUUCUAACAUGUGUUAUCCAUGCUGUCGUUAUACUCUGGCAAGGCUCCUCAAUCUAUCGCGAGGGACACUCAUUAUUGCCCGCAAGCUUUAGAACCUGACGUGGGUCGAUGCGUAUGCGAGUCCGAGGACGCGAUGGCAUUUGAUAAGGCUACCAACCGGUUGAUAACACGCAUUGUUCAAAUUGUUAGGUUUAAGUCUGCUAGGGCUGGGGUGGGAA